rnacentral:rRNA from 1 species
CCUACGGGAGGCAGCAGUAGGGAAUCUUCCACAAUGGGCGAAAGCCUGAUGGAGCAACGCCGCGUGGGUGAAGAAGGUCUUCGGAUCGUAAAACCCUGUUGUUAGAGAAGAAAGUGCGUGAGAGUAACUGUUCACGUUUCGACGGUAUCUAACCAGAAAGCCACGGCUAACUACGUGCCCGCAGCCGCGGUAAUACGUAGGUGGCAAGCGUUUUCCGGAUUUAUUGGGCGUAAAGGGAACGCAGGCGGUCUUUUAAGUCUGAUGUGAAAGCCUUCGGCUUAACCGGAGUAGUGCAUUGGAAACUGGGAGACUUGAGUGCAGAAGAGGAGAGUGGAAUUCCAGGUGUAGCGGUGAAAUGCGUAGAUAUAUGGAAGAACACCAGUGGCGAAAGCGGCUCUCUGGUCUGUAACUGACGCUGAGGUUCGAAAGCGUGGGUAGCAAACAGGAUUAGAUACCCCAGUAGUC